AUUGAACGCUGGCGGCAUGCCUUACACAUGCAAGUCGAACGGCAGCAUGGAGAGCUUGCUCUCUGAUGGCGAGUGGCGAACGGGUGAGUAAUGCAUCGGAACGUACCGUGUAAUGGGGGAUAACGUCGCGAAAGUUACGCUAAUACCGCAUACGACCUGAGGGGGAAAGCAGGGGAUCGCAAGACCUUGCGUUAUACGAGCGGCCGAUGUCAGAUUAGCUAGUUGGUGCGGUAAAGGCUCACCAAGGCGACGAUCUGUAGCGGGUCUGAGAGGAUGAUCCGCCACACUGGGACUGAGACACGGCCCAGACUCCUACGGGAGGCAGCAGUGGGGAAUUUUGGACAAUGGGGGCAACCCUGAUCCAGCCAUGCCGCGUGAGUGAAGAAGGCCUUCGGGUUGUAAAGCUCUUUCGGCCGGGAAGAAAUCGCACAGGCUAAUACUCUGUGUGGAUGACGGUACCGGCAUAAGAAGCACCGGCUAACUACGUGCCAGCAGCCGCAGUAACAC
rnacentral:rRNA from 1 species